CUCACCAGUCACCACCCCAGGCCAGCCGCCACGUUUAGCCGGGCUAAACAAACACGGGCGCACAAUCGGAACUCGCUGCACUGCUUGGAAUCCAACGAGCCAAUCAUUCAAAUCCUCCCCGGAACCGCGUUGAGCAGGGCACGGUCGAUUGGAUCUAGGGUGAGGGUCCGUCGCCGAAGAAACUCGCAGGCGGUCACGAGGAGGCGGCGGGGGAGGGCGGGGGAGAUGGCCUCGGAGGAGAUGACGGCGACGGAGGUGGCUGCGCUGCUGGACUUGAAGCCGCACCCGGAGGGCGGCUUCUACACCGAGACCUUCCGCGACGGCUCCAUCACGCUCACCACGUCCCAGCUCCCGCCCCACUUUGCUCUGGGUGGUGAUCCUUCGCCGAGCCACCAGUUGAUCUCUCACGAUUUGGGGGUUCCCUCAUUCUUCUCCAACCUCCAGGUAUUAUGGUUUGUCCUAGUCUGACUUUUACACCACAUAAACUGCUGUUAUUAUACUCAUCUGUUCUUAAUAUCAGGCAUUGGUGGACGGGAUGGCUAGUCAGUUGAAGUUGCAGGGUGCUUCUGUUCCAGAGGGAGCUUCGUCUCUGGCGCGUUGGAAUCCGGUGCUGCUUCAGCAGCGUGUUUCUGACUUAGAGGCGGCGAAUGCUGAUAUGGCCCGACAGUAUUCUGUUCUUGAAGAAAAACAUUCUCAAAGCCAGGCUGAACUGGUCCGGCGGUGCUCUGAUCUUGAGGAAAAGUAUUCCCAAAGCCAGACUGGGCUGGCCCAGGUUUCUGCUGCUCUGAAUGAUGCUAACAUGCUAAAUUCUACUCUCCGCGCUCAGCUCGAUUAUGAAAAGGAAGAAAAAUGUGCCCUUGUUACUUCUCGUGACAAUCUUGAUAGGCUAUAUCGUGACUCCAGCAACUCGUUGACCAUCCUGGAGAGGAGUCAUCGCUUCACCAUGGAGGAGUUAGACAAUCAUCGUUAUAAGCUGCAGGAAUCCAUGGACGACGUGAUUCGCCUCAGGCAGUUGAAAUCGGCUAAAGAUGAUGUCAUCAAGGAACUACGUGCUUCCAAGAAGUCCAUCGCCCAGGAGCUGGAGACCGCUCAGUUGGCUGUCAAGGUUGCUGAAGAAACUUCCGCUACUCUGAGGGCCCAGCGCAACAGAGCUAUGGAUAAAGCCAUUCGCGCAGGGCGGAUCUUGAUGAGGAGACCUGGUGUGGUUGUCCCCGACGACAUAAGGGCUGAUGUGAACGCUACUCCUGAUUCCUCAAGUUGCUCUUCUUCGUCGGUUGCUCCUGAGAAGAAUGUUGCAAAAUAGAAAAACAUUGCGUGCUUUGAGCGCGCGGUUAACGUGCUCGGAUAUUUUGUUAGAGGACGCCCGCUUAAUAUUGAAUGCUACUAUUAUUCUCCUAUUGUUUAGAAUUCAGCAGUAUCUAAAUUUGUAGAAGUAAAAUGUUGCGUGAUGAUUUUGAGACUUCCUCAUGGGACAUAGAGGCCGCCCCUAGACGAGUAACUGUAUGCGCGCCGAGUGUGCCGUGCCUGUUUAAGUUAGUAUUAACUCAAACCGAUCGCUCCGUGAGUGUGGCUUAGUGGCCACCACGAGUUAAGCAAGCGUGAGCAUGUUGCACCGUCUUAAGUCGUUGUCGACUUAAGUCGAUUGCUCCGUUAGCAGGGCAUGAUGGUUACCCCGAGUUAAGUAAACGCGAGCAUGUUGCACCGUCUUAAGUCGUUGCCGACUUAAACCGAUUGCUCCGUUACCGUUAGCAGGGCAUAGUGGUCACCCCGAGUUAAUUAAGCGCGAGCAUGUUGCACCGUCUUAAGUCGUUCCCGACUUAAGCCGAUUGCUCCGUUAGCAGGGCAUAGUGGUCACCCCGAGUUAAGUAAGAGCGAGCAUGUUGCACCGUCUUAAGUCGUUGCCGACUUAAGCCGAUUGCUCCGUUAGCAGGGCAUAGUGGUCACCCCGAGUUAAGUAAGCGCGAGCAUGUUGCACCGUCUUAAGUCGUUGCCGACUUAAGCCGAUUGCUCCGUUAGCAGGGCAUAGUGGUCACCCCGAGUUAAGUAAGCGCGAGCAUGUUGCACCGUCUUAAGUCGUUGCCGAUUUAAGCCGAUUGCUCCAUUAGCAGGGCAUAGUGGUCACCCCAAGUUAAGUAAGAAUGCAGGUCGACCAUGAACAAUUUGAGUAUUCUUGAGGUCUUUUUAUUGAUGAUAUAUUUCCCAGUUUACAGAGUACAUUGCCGUCCCGAUAGCUUUUGAAAUACAGCUACGGGUAAAACUUACUGAGGUAUUCUAUGUUUCAUGAGUUCCCAAUUUCCGUGCCGUCCAUCUGAGUGAGACGAUAUGAUCCCGGCCGAGUGACCUCUGCUAUUAUGAAUGGUCCUUCCCAUAAAGGUGACAACUUGUGCUGUCCCUCCCCCGUUAGAAUUCGGCGGAGGACGAGGUCUCCCACUGUGAAGGAUCGACGUCGCAUGGUCUUAUCGUGAUAGCGCCUCAGAGUUUGUUGGUACCGUCGCAUGGUCUUAUCGUGAUAGCGCCUCCGAGCCAGCACCCCUCCGACUUCACUCGGCGUGUUCAUGGCUUGGACGAAGUCGGGGUUCAGGUUGCGCCCGAAGAGUGGAUUCUCCCGACGUUGCCUUGCCUCCUGCUCGGCUUGUUCCUGAGCCCGUCGGCGAUCACGCCGUCGGGAAUUCCUUCGUUCCCUGAAGACACGUUCCUCCGACGUUUCUCCUAUCUCUGAGACCUCGUCUCGCGAGACAGGCUGCUCCGGGUCCCGCUCUCCGGCCUCGUGAUGUCUCCGGACAUUUCGGCGUCGGUUCCUUCGUCGGCGGGAUUCCCGCUGAGGAGGUUCCUCUCCGGGUGCAGUCGGUUCGUUGUCGGAGACGGGGGGCGACUCCACUCUCCCGAUGAAGAGGACGUCGGGGUAGAAUGGCGCAGCUGUCGUGGCGAUCUUCUUUCUGUUCUCCUUUGAGGGCAGAGGUACAGGAAGAACAACUUGCUUCCUAUUUGUUUCCUUCUUCCUUGCGAUUUGUGUCCAUUCUUUCAUCGGAGAGGUAGACAGUGGAGUCCUCCGGGUUAGCGGGCCCUCGGCCCCUGGCUCGCUGAAGGCUAUCUUUUUUCGGAGUGCUGUAGGUUGCGCUUUUCCCUGCCUUACCCCGAUAUUCUCGGAGGUUGUUGGAGGAGACUUCCUCCUUGGCGAAUCUACGAUGCGAUGUAGAGUUCCUUCCUCAUCCGCUACAGAUGAGAUAGUUCCGAAGCAGAACACGGAUCCGGGGCGGAGGAUGAUCUUGUGAUGGAAGGUGACGGCCAUUGAGCUAGCUUAGAUCGGCGACACACCCCCUACCUGGCGCGCCAGCUGUCGGUGUUUUGGGUCCGACCGCACACCCGGGGUUGCCCCUCAAGGUGUUUUUAGGAGUAGGACGAUGUCGCCGACUGUAGCUCGAUGGUUCGUGCAGAGCGCACGAGAAACUGUGAACAAUGAUGUACAGAUUCGGGCCGCUUAGAGAUGCGUAACACCCUACGUCCUGGCGGGAAUGUUUUAUGUGGCGGAUUACAAGGGAACUCUCUAGUGUAAGGAACGUAGAGAGUUGAGGUGGAUGGCUGAGUAGUCAGAUUGAUCCUCUGAAGGGGUGCCCCCUAGGCCUUAUAUAUUCGACCGUGGGGCAUUACAUGCGGAUAUGAUAAUAGUAUGCGCCUAAAUGAUAGUGAACCAAUUGAGCCUAUCUCCCUAUAGUUCCGCCGACCCAUCCUUGCGUGGUUCCAUCGCACAGGGUUCCAAUGCGAGAAGAUCGGGUCACUGUCGUGCUUACUUGCUCGAAGUCAUUGGGUCGUCUGGGCUCGCACUGAUCCUGCCUUACGUCAAUCUGCUUCACUGGUCAUUCCUCCCCAGACCCACGAAGGGAUGACCUUACGAUUUAUUGGGCCUUUGGGCCUUUCGUGAGGUCUUUUAUCCUUCCAGUGGACCCGGGGAUAUCUGUCCCCCACAAUGGCUGCAUACAAACAUUAGCUGAAUAAAUACCUUUGGAAUUGAAAUUUCAAGUGUAAAUUUUGCAUUUAUCAUAAAAAACUCAAUUAGGGGUCUGCCGUUCCCCUAGCUUUAUAUAUUUAAGAAGAUGGGCCCACCAAAACCUGCCGGGGCCGAGCGUCACCCAAUGGGAUGCCACAGCAACCGUCACAGGGAGGUGGGCACCAGGCCGCAAUUUGGUGCGUCACCCAGGAUUCGAACCCUGGGCGGGAGCACUUGCGACCAGUGGCCUUGCCACUGCGCCGUGACCCGUGAGCCCCUUCGCAAUUUUGCAUUUAUCAUGAUUCGUGGAUUGUGACAAGCUGAAAUAUUUGGUCAUUGUCCAUGGUAAUGAUCUUGAAGGGUAGGUCUUGUGCAUUACCAUGAUCUUGAAGGGCAAGUCUAGUGUAGUGGUCAGAGUUAUCUCACAGUCUCACCUGCUAUAUUUACGGGAGGCAGGCUUGUCUCGAUUUAUCCCUUCCUCAGACCCCACUCAGGCCUUGUUCGAUUAUUCCCAUUAUACAUGGAUUGAAAAAAAAUUAGAAGAACUUUGACUUGCUUGGGAUUUAAACCCACCCAAUUCCACUCAAUCCACAUGGAUUGAGAUCUAACCGAACAAAGCCUCAUAUGGGAGCCUCUAGCACUAGGUCUGCCAUGUAUUGACCUUGCAUGCUUCUUAGUUAUAGUACUAUAGUGGCUACGUGUGAUAUGAAUCUUUAUCAGUAGUUGCUACCUGAAGCUCCUUGUUACCUUGUACGAUUUGUAAUGGAACAUGCAGUUAGUGAGAUGUCUGUAACAACCAAAGCAGGAUGGUAUGGCCGCCAUCUGAAACCACUGCAAAUUUUAAGAAUACUGAACAUUUGCCAUCAGUUUGGAAAAUAUUUAUUGCUUCUCUGUUCUGCCCUAUAUUAUACGAUUUGCUGCAGACAACCUAAAUGUGUAGUUGGUGAUUUUAUUUGCGGGGCAUUUGGAGCCAUUCAUUUUAGAGGAAUUAAAAUUUACUUAAUAAAGUAACAGAUUUGGCUUGGGAUUUGACAUUCCACCACUUUCUAAAGUUCAGAUAUUAAGUCCAUCUUAAAUUCAUGAGGUAAAGGAUGAGAAAUGAUUUUAUGUAUUAGUAGAAAUGUAGCACGUAAAUAUCGCUGGCAUCUUACUAAUAAUAGUAUACAAAUAUAUUUUGCAUAAAAUUGUAUUAGCUUAAUUGAUACGUGUGUAAAUUACUAUAUUAUUGGAAUGGAAUUCAAUUCUAAGGAUCCAAACGGGGCUUAUUAGUGUAUUUCUGAGUGGUUGGAUCUUUUCUAUGGAGACAAGUUAUUGUUCCACUAAUAUCUGUGACCACUAAUUUGAAUUUUUGAGUGCAAUGCUAGACAACGAAUGAGUACUAAACUAGAUCAUACAUGGAUAUGAAGUCAAGCUGAUAUUAUCUCUCUAAUAUCCCCUUAAUGUAUGCUGCAGACAAGGUAAACCGUGCUGUUAGCACCGCAAUCUAUUUCCUACUUCCCGCAGGGAGUGUUUCCCGUCUCCACCGCAUUCCCUGUGCUGAAACCUGGCACUUCUACAAGGGAGAGCCUCUCACGGUCUUCGAGCUUCACGACGACGGUCACAUUGACCUUACUGUCAUUGGCCCACACCUUGAGGCAGGCCAGCGCCCCCAGUAUACCGUGCCACCGAACGUGUGGUUUGGGUCGUUCCCCACACUAGACGUCGAGUCGUUCGCAUCUGAUGGCAGCGUUCUUGUCAAGUCUCGGAAGAGGGACCCUGAGCUGCAUUACUCCCUUGUUGGCUGCACCUGUGCCCCUGGCUUCCAGUACGAGGAUUUUGAAAUGGCCAAAUUUGAGGACGUGAGAUCCAUCGCUCCCAAGGCUGAACCUUUCCUCAAGUUUCUUAUUCCCUCUACCGAUUAACUCCAGAGCAGCCUCAGAUGAUUGUGGAUGGGUUCUCAGCGACUUUCUAUACUGCAUACUGUACGGAUGGUGUUUCUAGUGUGAUUCCAUGAGAGUUCUGCUUUCACGACAGUGUAGACAGUAAACUGUACCUUUGUGGUGGCACCGGUUGAAACGUUUGGUGCAUUGAAACAGAAUAACAGCUGGUCUUGAUGUUGAAUAGCA